rfam:Ornithorhynchus anatinus chromosome 1, whole genome shotgun sequence.
CCCCUCUCAGGGUCGCACCUGGAGAGUUUCCAGUACUCUAGCAGUCUUGGCUAUGUGAGGGAGAGUGAAGCAGUGGCCUACACAUUCCAUUUCUAGAUUGGGCAGUGGCUAGUGAGUGGAAGGCAAUCUGCUACAAGU